GACGAACCGUGCGAACGUUGUUCGGAAUCACUGGGCUUAAAGGGCGCGUAGGCGGGCUCACAAGUCAGGGGUGAAAGCCCACGGCUCAACCGUGGAAGUGCCUUUGAUACUGUGGGUCUGGAGGGAGGUAGGGGCGUGCGGAACUUCCGGUGGAGCGGUGAAAUGCGUAGAUAUCGGAAGGAACACCGGUGGCGAAAGCGGCGCGCUGGACCUCUUCUGACGCUGAGGCGCGAAAGCCAGGGGAGCAAACGGG
rnacentral:rRNA from 1 species